UACCAGCUCUCCGAGUGGUAGGGAUGUUUAUUGGGCUUAAAGCGUCCGUAGCCGGCUUAGCAAGUCUCCUGUUAAAUUCAGCGACCUAAUCGUUGAGCCGCGGGAGAUACUACUAGGCUAGGAGGCGGGAGAGGUCAACGGUACUUCCGGGGUAGGGGUGAAAUCCUAUAAUCCCGGGAGGACCACCGGUGGCGAAGGCUGUUGACUAGAACGCGCUCGACGGUGAGGGACGAAAGCUGGGGGAGCGAACCGGAUUAGAUACCCGGGUAGUCCCAGCUGUAAACGAUGCGAGCUAGGUGUUGGGGUGGCUACGUGCCACUUCAGUGCCGCAGGGAAGCCAUUAAGCUCGCCGCCUGGGGAGUACGGCCGCAAGGCUGAAACUUAAAGGAAUUGGCGGGGGAGCGACCACAAGGCGUGAAGCUUGCGGUUC
rnacentral:rRNA from 1 species